rnacentral:rRNA from 1 species
CAACCUACCUAUCAGAGGGGAAUAACCCGGCGAAAGUCGGACUAAUACCGCAUAAAACAGGGGCACCGCAUGGUGAUAUUUGUUAAAGAAAUUCGCUGAUAGAUGGGCAUGCGUUCCAUUAGGUAGUUGGUGAGGUAACGGCUCACCAAGCCGACGAUGGAUAGGGGAACUGAGAGGUUGGUCCCCCACACUGGUACUGAGACACGGACCAGACUCCUACGGGAGGCAGCAGUGAGGAAUAUUGGUCAAUGGGCGAGAGCCUGAACCAGCCAGGUCGCGUGAAGGAAGAAGGAUCUAUGGUUCGUAAACUUCUUUUGCAGGGGAAUAAAGUGCAGGACGUGUCCUGUUUUGUAUGUACCCUGAGAAUAAGGAUCGGCUAACUCCGUGCCAGCAGCCGCGGUAAUACGGAGGAUCCGAGCGUUAUCCGGAUUUAUUGGGUUUAAAGGGUGCGUAGGUGGUUUGAUAAGUCAGCGGUGAAAGUUUGCAGCUUAACUGUAAAAAUGCCGUUGAAACUGUCGGACUUGAGUGUAAAUGAGGUAGGCGGAAUGCGUGGUGUAGCGGUGAAAUGCAUAGAUAUCACGAAGAACUCCGAUUG